rnacentral:rRNA from 1 species
GACGAACGCUGGCGGCGUGCCUAAUACAUGCAAGUAGAGCGCUGAAGGAGGAGCUUGCUUCUCUGCAUGAGUUGCGAACGGGUGAGUAACGCGUAGGUAACCUGCCUUGUAGUGGGGGAUAACUAUUGGAAACGAUAGCUAAUACCGCAUAAUAGUCGAUGUUGCAUGACAUUUGCUUAAAAGUUGCAAUUGCAUCACUACCAGAUGCACCUGCGUUGUAUUAGCUAGUUGGUGGGGUAACGGAUCACCAAGGCGACGAUACAUCGCCGACCGGAGAGGGGGAUCGGCCACACUGAGAGUGAGACACGGCCCAGACGGCUACGGGAGGGAGCAGGAGUGAAUCGUCGGCAAGGGGCGGAAAACUGAGCAAAAAACGCCGCAUGAGUAAAGAAGGUUUUCGGAUCGGGGAGCUCGGUUGUAGGAGAAGAACGCGUUUGAGAGUGGAAAGAUCACUGAGUGACGGUAACUUACCAGGAAGCAACGGCUAACUACGUG